rnacentral:rRNA from 1 species
GGCUCUUUGUAAUAUAUUUAAAUAAGGAGUCGUACCUGCCCGGUGAUAUUUUUAACGGCCGCAGUACUUUGACUGUGCAAAGGUAGCAUAAUCACUUGCCUUAUAAUUGAAGGCUGGAAUGAAUGGUUUGACAAGAAUACAACUGUCUCUAUGUGAUUUUAUAAAAUUUGAUUUUCAGGUGAAGAAGCCUGGAUUUAACUGAAAGACGAGAAGACCCUAUCGAGCUUUAAAAAAAUUGGUAAAAGUAAUAUAAACAAUUUGAAAUUAAUCUUACUAAAAAUUUUGGUUGGGGCGACAGAGGAAUCUAAAAAACUUCCUUUAAUUAAAAAUUAUUUACAAAUGAUGAUCCAGAAAUUACUGAUUAAAGAAUAUAGUUACCGUAGGGAUAACAGCAUAAUUCUUUUUAAGAGACCAUAUCGAAAAAGGAGUUUGUGACCUCGAUGUUGGACCAAAAUAUCCUAAAGAUGUAGCAGUCUUUAAAGGUUGGUCUGUUCGACCAUUAAAAUUUUA